rnacentral:tRNA from 1 species
GCGUGCAUUGCCUAAUAGAUAGGAUAAAGGAAAGGUCUUUAAAACCUUAGGUAUAGGUUCAAAUUCCAUUGGAAGCA